rnacentral:rRNA from 1 species
AGCAGUAGCGCGGUAAUACGGAGGGUGCAAGCGUUAAUCGGAAUUACUGGGCGUAAAGCGCACGCAGGCGGUCUGACAAGUCAGAUGUGAAAUCCCCGGGCUUAACCUGGGAACUGCAUUUGAAACUGUCAGGCUGGAGUCUUGUAGAGGGGGGUGGAAUUCCAGGUGUAGCGGUGAAAUGCGUAGAGAUCUGGAGGAAUACCGGUGGCGAAGGCGGCCCCCUGGACAAAGACUGACGCUCAGGUGCGAAAGCGUGGGGAGCAAACAGGAUUAGAUACCCGGGUAGUCCCUGUCUCUUAUACA